GACGAACGCUGGCGGCGUGCUUAACACAUGCAAGUCGAACGAAGCUUGAUUACGGAUUCUUCGGAUGAAGUAUGAUAUGACUGAGUGGCGGACGGGUGAGUAACGCGUGAGUAACCUGCCCUUCAGAGGGGGAUAGCGUUUGGAAACGAACGGUAAUACCGCAUAAUGUAUUUUGACCGCAUGAUCGAAAUACCAAAGAUUUAUCGCUGAAGGAUGGACUCGCGUCUGAUUAGGUAGUUGGUGGGUAACGGCCUACCAAGCCGACGAUCAGUAGCCGGACUGAGAGGUUGAUCGGCCACAUUGGGACUGAGACACGGCCCAGACUCCUACGGGAGGCAGCAGUGGGGAAUAUUGCACAAUGGGCGCAAGCCUGAUGCAGCAACGCCGCGUGAAGGAAGACGGUUUUCGGAUUGUAAACUUCUGUUCUUAGUGAAGAAUAAUGACGGUAGCUAAGGAGCAAGCCACGGCUAACUACGUGCCAGCAGCCGCGGUAAUACGUAGGUGGCAAGCGUUGUCCGGAAUUACUGGGUGUAAAGGGAGCGCAGGCGGGUGAUCAAGUCAGCUGUGAAAACUACGGGCUUAACCCGUAGACUGCAGUUGAAACUGUUCAUCUUGAGUGAAGUAGAGGUUGGCGGAAUUCCGAGUGUAGCGGUGAAAUGCGUAGAUAUUCGGAGGAACACCGGUGGCGAAGGCGGCCAACUGGGCUUUAACUGACGCUGAGGCUCGAAAGUGUGGGGAGCAAACAGGAUUAGAUACCCUGGUAGUCCACACUGUAAACGAUGAUUGCUAGGUGUGGGGGGUCUGACCCCUUCCGUGCCGGAGCUAACGCAAUAAGCAAUCCACCUGGGGAGUACGACCGCAAGGUUGAAACUCAAAGGAAUUGACGGGGACCCGCACAAGCAGUGGAUUAUGUGGUUUAAUUUGAAGCAACGCGAAGAACCUUACCAGCACUUGACAUCCAACUAACGAAAUAGAGAUAUAUUAGGUGCCCUUCAGGGAAAGAUGAGACAGGUGGUGCAUGGUUGUCGUCAGCUCGUGUCGUGAGAUGUUGGGUUAAGUCCCGCAACGAGCGCAACCCUCGCCAUUAGUUGCUACGCAAGAGCACUCUAAUGGGACCGCUACCGACAAGGUGGAGGAAGGUGGGGAGGACGUCAAAUCAUCAUGCCCCUUAUGUGCUGGGCUACACACGUAAUACAAUGGCCAUCAACAGAGAGAAGCAAUACCGCGAGGUGGAGCAAAACUUCAAAAAUGGUCUCAGUUCGGACUGCAGGCUGCAACCCGCCUGCUCGAAGUUGGAAUUGCUAGUAAUCGUGGAUCAGCAUGCCACGGUGAAUAAGAUCCCGGGUCUUGCACUCUCCGCCCGUCAAGGG
rnacentral:rRNA from 1 species